GUAAGGCUCCUUCACAAUUCGGAAAACAACCCACAUAAAUAUGAUCCGCAAACUGGAAUAAGUUCGCCUCGUAACCAAGCAGUCAUGACUUAUCUGCUAGAGGAAUUGAAAACAACUUUUGCACAUGCAGACCCUGAAUGUAUACAAGCGUGUUGCAAGACAUACUUUGAAACACUUCGGAGAAAGUACAAUUUGACUCAGCCAGAAAAGUCCCAGCUAAAGAGAUGCCAUUAAAACAGGAGCUAAAAACCAACAAAGGAAAAGACGGCUGAGUGUAGAAAUUCAUCAACUUGUCUUUAAAGGGAUAGUUCACCCCAAACUGAAAAGUGUU